AUUUGCACUGACUGUAUGUCACUCUGGAUAAGAGUGUCUGCUAAAUAACCAAAA
rfam:Salmo salar isolate Sally breed double haploid chromosome ssa20, whole genome shotgun sequence.